rnacentral:piRNA from 1 species
GUUGUCUCUGCCUCAGGCUUUGCCGUGU